UACAGAGGUCUCAAGCGUUGUUCGGAUUCAUUGGGCGUAAAGGGUGCGUAGGCGGCGCGGUAAGUCGGGUGUGAAAUCUCGGAGCUUAACUCCGAAACUGCAUUCGAUACUGCCGUGCUUGAGGACUGGAGAGGAGACUGGAAUUUACGGUGUAGCGGUUAAAUGCGUAGAUAUCGUAAGGAAGACCAGUGGCGAAGGCGGGUCUCUGGACAGUUCCUGACGCUGAGGCACGAAGGUCAGGGGAGCAAACGGG
rnacentral:rRNA from 1 species